rnacentral:rRNA from 1 species
CAGGGACGAUAAUAACGGUACCUGAGGAGGAAGCCACGGCCAACUACGUGCCAGCAGCCGCGGUAAUACGUAGGUGGCAAGCGUUAUCCGGAUUUACUGGGCGUAAAGGGAGCGUAGGCGGAUAAUUAAGUGGGAUGUGAAAUACCCGGGCUCAACUUGGGUGCUGCAUUCCAAACUGGUUAUCUAGAGUGCAGGAGAGGAGAGUGGAAUUCCUAGUGUAGCGGUGAAAUGCGUAGAGAUUAGGAAGAACACCAGUGGCGAAGGCGACUCUCUGGACUGUAACUGACGCUGAGGCUCGAAAGCGUGGGGAGCAAACAGGAUUAGAUACCCUGGUAGUC